UUUUUUUUGUUUUUUGUUUUUUUAAAGCAACUGCAAAAAUUAGAGAAAAGAAAAGUUGUUUUGCAAAAGUUAGACCAUUCAUAAUCGACGCACUUUGGAUUGCACCCAACCAGUGAAGGCAAGAGGGAACACAAUUUGUAAGUUUUAGGGCUCUCUAUGAGGUCACUGCUAAUUCUAUUUUAAUAGCAGACCUCCAGAAGAUUAUUAAUUUUUCAACAAUAAGCCUGAAAAGAAAAGAAACACUAAUUUCAUUCUCCCUGGAUGCCUAUAAACAUUCAUUAUUUUAAGCCUUUCUGUUCUCCUUUUCUAUUAUACUACAUUUUUUUUUCAAGGCCAGAGACAGGCCUACUCUUUCUAUAUGCCAAGAGCAAAGCUGAUUUGGGCGGUAGUGACAUUCACCCGAUGUCACUCUCCUGUACUUCUUUGGAAAGGGGUUCAGGUGAAUGCCUCACAGCCAUAAAGUAUUAUAGAUUAACCAUUGUUUUCCAGUAGCCUGGCAUAGUUCCUGGAACAGUGAUUUCCACUAAAGUUUAUUUAAGGGAAAAUUUAAAAUAGAGGAAGAUACAUAAAGAUAUUAGGAGUUGUCACAGAAAUUUAACAACAGGAGAAUAGAAUAACAACAGGAGAAAAGUAAACCCAGCAUGUUAGCACAUGCUCACAUAUUGUAGUUAAAAUAAGAUUUAAAAAUAUUCCAACUGGAGAUGAAAUAGCUAAUAAGAGUUUAUUUGUCAUACACACAAGAAAAAAAAAAAGUAUGAAAGAGUCCAGGACCAGACUAGAAUAAUAGCUCCAUGUCCACCAGAGACAUAGACUCUUUCUGUGAUUGCUAGGAUGUAGCCUUCAUCAUCAUACUCCAAAAAGGCUGCUGGAGUUCCAGCUAUCACAGCCACAUUUUAAGCAUCAGUAUCAGAAAAGUGGAAGGGAAGAAAGAGACUUCCCAUGAUUUCUAUACAACAUAUUUUCUUACUUUUCACUACCAAGAACUUAAUCACCUACUUCAGUCAAAUACAAAGAAGGCUAUUGCCCAGUCAUAGGCUUCAUAACAGAGGAGCUAUAUGUUUAGCAACAGGAUACUAAGGUUAAUAACUCUAAAUAUAAAAAUGUUUAGGAGCUGACAGAGGAUUCCAUGUGUGCAUGUAUUCUGAGAGGGGAGGAAGGAGGACAGAGGAGUGAGCUGGCUCUUAGAAACUGAAAGCUUAAAGUAGCAAGAGGAGCAUCCAGCUCAUCUGGGGCCUGCUCUGACAAAAACAGAUGCAUUUAUGGACAAAGUAAGGCAGAAUAAAUUAAAGGUAAACAGACAAUUUUCAAACCGUCACUGUUGGUAUUGCCCAGUCUGGUUUACCAUAGAGAAACAUAAAGAGAUUCAGGCUGGAAGUUCAAGUCUAAGUGAAGAUUCAGCUGACAGCCUGGUGUCCCUGUGUGCUAAAUCUCUUUGAACUUGACUAUGACAAAGAGGAUAAAAAAGAGAGAUACCGUGACUCUGGGGUCAGGGGGAGCCCAGUGCUGCCUCUCUCUCCUGCUGAUACCUAUUGUUUAUCAUAUAUACCCUCAUUCUAGAUCAGUUCUCUCCCAGGCAUUCUGUAACCCUGAAUAGUGUGACACGUAUGUUUGUAAUGAUAAUUUUCAGCCAAUAGUUGUGACUGAAUGAGAAAUGGCCACCACCAUCUGCACCCCCACACUCCUCUACCACACUCUCACACACUCCUUAUCUCAGAGCAAGCAGGUUUCUGGGAAUUAAUCCAUCAAAUAUUUUGAAGGAAGACUCUACAGCCUGGUAACACGGCUUAUCUUACCCCAGUGCAUAUUCAUUGCUAUGGUAGCCAUAGCUGGGGAAAAAGUAUCACCUAGGACCUCCUAUUUCCUGUCAGGGAGAGGAGGGGAGUCAAAGAAAACCAACAACCAAGGAAUAUAGUGCCAGGAUGAGAUUCCUAGACAUCUCUGCCCUCAAGGAAAAAAGCAGUGAGGCAGAGAGCAGCAGUGCUAUUGUGAGGAAAAUCAUUUACUGAACCCCUGCUGACCACAGCUCCAGUCCCAAAUUAAGAAUAGAUGAAAAUGAAAAUAGCUAAGUUGGUAGGUAAGGCAUGUUUGGGUUUGUUUGUUUUUGGUAUGAUGGAAGGGAGGUGAGAUAUUAACUAUGACUAUAUAUUUCAUCUCUAAUCUCUCCCUUUCUACAGUAAACACUGGGAAUAAUCCAAAGCACAAAAGGGUGUGGACCAGUAGCCUUUUAAAGGAAUUUUAUAAAAUGGAUCUAUUCUCAGUGCCCUUCAGCAGGUUUCUGAGGCCUCUGACUUCUUCAGGUACUUUGGCUCAGAAAAUUAUUAAUCUUGGUGCUUUUAGUUUAGUGCCCACCCCAUGGCUUAUGAUGCAUUGCCAGAGUUUUGAAUAACUCAAAGUUUUGUGUAAGACCCAUUCUCUCCUUUACCCCUGAGUUUUUCUUUUGUUGGAAAAAGAAAAUCAAGAAUUCUCUGAACAUAUUCUCUUCUGUCUAUGUAUUCCUGGAAGUAUUAUAAUAGUCAGGACUUCCACAUUUUUCUUCAUAACUCAAUCUCAACUUAUCUCCAAUGAAUCAAAGGGUGGUAGAGUUUUUAAGAGGUGGAAUGGGGGGCAAGGAUCAUAGGAUAUCUGGGGUGAGGUCAAGGGCCAAGGGGCAGAAAGAAGCCUGCCCAAACUCUAGUCAAGUUGAGGGAAACACUAAGGCCAUUUUGGUCAAUUCUUACCAUAACUCCACGGAGUCAUGCAUUAAUAUGCCCAUUUUAGGGUAGAAGACCUAAACAGACAAUGUCCAAAGAAGACACCAGAUGGCCAACACACACAUGAAAAGUUGCUCAAUAUCACCAAUUAUCAUGUUAUAGGCUUCAAGUCCCCAUGAAGGAGAUCAAACCCAAAAGCCACUGACCAGGUUUCAUUGUAAUACCCCUUCCCCCACCUUGAGCAACCUGGGCUGCUCACUCCCUGUUAGGGAAGAAAUGUCACCCAUUCCUUACCUUGCCUCUAUAUAACCUGUUCCUCAUGCUAAUAAGGUAUCCAGCCUGAAAACAACCAGAGGAUCAAAAUGCACCCUCAUACAGAGAUCAAACAACACUGCCCUUAGAGAUGGUGCAGCAGGGCUGGGACAGGAAAAUGAGUGGGGCUCAGGGCAGGAAAAUUCAGGUCCCCAACUACAUUCACUGUAUGCGGAUAUAAGGAAAGACCCAGCUGUGACCAGAGCCAGUCUGUACUCCAGGGUGGCCUGCUCUCUCUCUGAGGGCAUAAAUAAAAUUUGCUAUACACUACUAUCAUUUGAGUUCGAUUGUGAUCUCCACAUUUCGCAGACGGAAUAGUCCCCCUGCCAGACUGCCCACACCUCUAAAUCCUUGCUGCGUGUGGGCAAGAAUUGAGAGAAAUCACACAGAGGGACCAGACAAUUAGAGAAAUGCAAACCAAAACCACAAUGAGUAUGCCCUCACACUGGUCACAAUGGCCAUCAUCAAAAAGACCACAAAUAAUAAAUGCUGGAGAGGGUGUGGAAAAAAGGGAACCCUCCUAAACUGUUGGUGGGAAUGUAAAUUGGUGCAGCCACUGUGGAAAACAGUGGAAAAGUUCCUUAAAAAACUGAAACUGUAGCUACCACAUAACCCACCAAUCCAUCCUGGGUGCAUAUCCAGAAGAGAUAAAACUAAUUCAAAAAGAUACAUGCACCUCAACGUACACAGUAGCACCAUUUAUAAUAGCUAAGACAUGGAAACAAUCCAAGUGCCCAUCAACAGAAGACGAGAAGACUGGUUUAAAGAGAAGUGUGUGUGUGUGUGUGUGUGUGUGUGUGUGUGUAAUGAAAUAUUACUCAGCCAUAAAAAAGAAUGAAAUAAUGCCAUUUGCAACAACAUGAAUAGGCCUAGAAAAUAUCAUACUAAGUGAAUUAAAUCAGAGAAAGACAAAUUUAUAUGAUAUCACUUCUAAGUGGUAGAAUUAAAAAAACUACAAACAGAUCUAUAUAUGAAAUUGAAAAAGACCGACAUAAAAAACAAAAUUAUGGUUACCAAAGGAGAAAGGGAUGGGGAGUAGGGAUAAAUUAGGGAUAUGAGAUUAACAAAGUGCUAUGCAUAAAAUAAACAUAACCUUUAAGGGAAGAGAAUUUGAAAAGGAAGUGAUAUAUGUAUAACUGAUUCACUUUGCUGUACCCCUGAAACUAACACAUUAUUGUAAGUAAACUAUACUCCAGUAAAAUUUGAUAAAAAAAGGAUUUACCAUAUAACACAGAGAAUAAUAUUCUAUAAUAGAAAAUAAUCUGAAUAUGUGUGUAUAUAUAUGUAUACACACUGAAUACUUUUUCUGUACACCUGAAACUAAUACAAUGUUGUAUAUCAAUUAUACUUCAAAUUUAAAAAAUACAUUUUAAAAACUCCCAUUCUACAGAUUGGAAAUUAAAGUACAGAAAGGUUGAGUCUUGCCCUAAAAGCCUCACAGAGUCCGAAGCCAUCCCCAAGUUCAUAUCCCUCCCAGUGCUCCCUAUUUCCCACAUAUGCAAAUUAAUAUUUUUCUUACUGUGGUUUGGAACCAGGUCAGCCACAUUAGAUUCAAGGGCUGCCUUGCUGAUAGCAUCUUGGAAGGCUCAACCCAAAGAUAGUUUUAGGGAAAUAUGGAGGGGAAAGGAUGGGCAAAGCAGAGUGAAACCCUGAGAAUAGGAAUAAAAUGGGAUGGACAAGUUCCAGGGAUCCAUCAAAAAAGUGGCAGGAGUUGGAGUUCGUGUCAUGGCACAACGAAACAAUCUGACUAGGAUCCAUGAGGAUGCAGGUUUGAUUCCUGGCCUCAAUCAGUGGGUUAAGGAUCUGUCACUGUUGUGAGCUGUGGUGUAGAUCACAGACUCAGCUUGGAUCUUUCAUUGCCGUGGCUGGGGUGUAGGCCAGCAGCUAUAGUUCUGAUUCAACCCCUAGCUUGGGAACCUUCAUAUGCUGAGGUGUGGCCCUAAAAAGCCAACAACAACAACAAAAAAAAAGGUUGGGGGGGGAGGCAAGAGUGAAAAACAGAAAGGCUAGAAGGAACAUAAGACAGGGACAUGUCCAACAUGACAGUCCUAGAAAUAUGGAAAGUGAAAUAGCUGGAAGAGGGAAGAAAAUUUAAGGGGAAAGAUGUGAAUUAAGAAUUACAAUAAGAAUUAAGGUAAACGGACACAUUUAUUACUCUGGAAAUAUUAGACCUAUACUAUAGAAUAAAAUUGCUGCUGCUGAUUUCCACUUUCAAAGUGAUGCUACUGAUACAGAAAUAAAUGAUUCUGGUCAAAGAGAAAAUUUCAAAGCGAGAAAAACAAAGGGAAUGAUUAGAACUCUUAAAGAACCACCAACUUCAAGGAUCAGGGAAGGAGAAGAAAACAAAAACAAUAAUGGAGAAUAAGGAACAGAAAAAAAAAAUAAUAAGAGAAAUAGACGUGUCCAGAAAGUAUUGUCAGAGAAACCACUAAGAAGUUUAUAAAAGACGCAGAUUCCAAAGAGUCAAAUAGCACAGUUAUAGAGAACUGUAUAAGAUGGAGGACUCUUCUGGUGAUUUUCCAGAGAGAUGUUUCAACAUAGUUAUGAGGAUGAAAAACAGAUUCAACAGAUUAAAGAAAGUGGUAGCUGUGGUGGCUGUAUAAGAAGAAAAGGCACUGGGUCACAGCUAUGGAGUAAAAAGAAGAUGGUUUGGAUGCUAGUUAGAAAAACAAAGAUCUUUUUGUUUUCCAGUAGCAAUGGAAAAUAUGUUGAGAACCUGAAGCAUUAACCCUGGAUCCAAUAUAUUUAUGGAGGCUUCUCUACAGAUUGCUAAGGUAUACACAAAAAGGAUAUGGUUCUCUAAGAAUAUUAUGGUUCUCUACCGUAAUGUGAUUGGUCCCAUCUCUGAUAUGCAGUGUGCAUGAUAGGGGAGCUCUCCCUCAGGGAUUUCCAACCUUCUGAUUAGUACAGAAGAGAGUUGCUCUCAGCCUGCUUGCCAAUCAAGGUCCUCUAGCUUGUUCAUCAUUUGAAGAGAUUCUAUUGUGGGCCUAGAGACAACUGCUGAUAACUUGUUUAUCUCGGUGUCUUAAUCAUUUCCGGCUGUUACAACAAGUUACCAUAGCCUGGGUGACUUAAACAGCAGACAUCUAUUUCUCACAUUCUGGAGACUGGAAAGUCCAAGAUCAAGAUGCCAGUAGAUCUGUUGCCCAGUGAGAGCCUGGUUCCCAACUGAAGACAGCCUUCUCCUCACUGUAUCCUUACUUGGCAGAGAAAACAGAAAGGAAGCAAGCUUUCUUGUGUCUCUUCUUAUAAAAGCACGAAUCCCAUUCAUGAGGACCUACUCUCUGGAUUUAAUAACCUCUCAAAGGCACACCUCUUCUUACCACCACAAUGGAAGAUAGGAUCUCAACGUAUCAAUUUGAGGGAUGACAUGAACAUUCUGUCCGUAGCACUUAGCAAGAUGAGUCAGAGUUUCUGAGGAUUCAAGGAAGGAUGCUGAUGCUUUUAAAAGGGUUUGGGACAUGGCAGUAGUUGUCACACCUGAAGGUGCUGCAGAGCAUUACAUAUGAGAGUUAUUGUUUUGUUUGAUAUGUUUCCCUGAUAGGUAGCUAUUUUCAAAUGGUAAUCAUUUACCAGCUCUUGACAAUCCCCAGAUAUUUUCUCUGAGGCUAUCAGGCCUAUGUCUUCGUCUUAUUAACUUUUUUUGUGUGCAUACAUCUUUUUUUCUGGUGAUGGCCAGCAAUAUAUGCUUGGAAGAAGCAUAUAUUUCUCUCCCUGCCUUUCAGCACAGCUUAAAGCUAUCUGCUUCUGAAAAGCAGGUCCACAGCUGGUCAAUAGCUUGGUAGAUUUAUUCCAGUUCCUACCUCUGAUCAUUUCCCAUUUUUAACUUUUGUCUCCAUUUCUUCUCUGCAGUUCUCCUGAGAGCAGGCCUCCUCUCGCCCCCACACCUCUCACCUGGCAAUUGGACACUUUGUUGUUCCAUUUUAUGUGUUCACUUCAUCUCUCCCAGUAACCAUCCUAAAUCUGCUCUCCCUGGAAACACUCUCAAUGAUAUCUCUGUCCUCCAGGGCCUAAAAUAGGCUGAAGGGCAAGGGACAAUGAAAAGGGGAGAUAUGGUUUUUGAUUACUUGUGUGCUUUUGGCUAUAAUGGAAACAGCCAGCAGGUCGGACCUUCAUGUGCAUGUGUACAUAGAGAAUUUUUUAAUGAGAUGAGCAAAAACGAUUAUACUCAAAAAGCUAUAAAUACGCCUCAGAAAUAAGUGAAAAUAACUAAAUAUAAAAAGCAUACCCGGUUCAGCCUUGGAACUUCACCUGAACCAUUGCGAUCUCUUCAAAUGUGAUAUACUUAGGGAAAAAAUUUCAUGUCAGGGAACAGAUCAAAGAGCCCAUGAUAUAAGUAGCAAACAUGUUUCUUAAACGUUCUAAGGAUGAUAUUGGAAAAAUUAAAAGCUUUUCAGAUUCCUAUUUGAAGUUAUGGGAUAGAAAUGAGUAAGCUAUGGUACUGCCCAUACGCAAACACUGCUUAGGAUGUUAAUUAUCUCCCCAAAUCAUCAAUGUCACACAGUUGAUGUGCAGCCCUAGCUUUUCCUGGGAGGGUAAGGGUAGGGAGCAACUGCACAGAAUACUGCUGCCCUGGCCACACAACAUUAGGGAAAGACUGAUAUCCUUGAUCUGGCCAAAUGCAGUUUUCACUGUUCUUUGUCUCUUUCACACAUACACACUCUGAAAAGAUCCAUUACUCUGCAUGUGCUUUUGAUUCUCCUUUUGAAAAGCUAUGUAAUGAAAAAAGAUUUGUCCACUUAAAAAUGCUGUCUGUGUGCAAAGUGAAACCUGCUUGCAACCUUCUAGCUUAUAACAUUGCUCUUUCUCUAAAUCUGUAAAGCCUGCAUGAACCAAGGCGCUUACUAUUUGCCCUUGGACUUUCUCAUGAGCCAGGCCACUUAUUGUUAGCUGGUGCAGGCUGCUGAUAUGUGCGACUUGUUAGCUAUUGCACAGCCUAACAAGCCAGGAGAAUAAAGGCUCCCCAUUUGAAUGUUCUCCACAUCUGAGGCACUGAAGAGGUGCUCUGCAGAUUCUAGCAGGUCUGAGAAGACUUUCCAGAGAGCCCACCAAGUUUCUCUGGCUGCAGGAGUGACCUGGCAGUUAGCUGGCAAGAUGAAAUGACCAUGCCAAAGGUUUGGCAUCCCCUUGGAUCAGUAUGUAAAGCCUGUGCUUACUCCCAAGGCCAGACUCAUCAUAGCUAAAGUGACCUCCCCCAAAGCAUGCUUCAGUCCAUUAUUUUAGGGUGACCUCCUAAAAAAGGGAGACAAAGUGAAAGCUUUUGUCUGAGAGCAGGAAGACAUAAAGGAAAGAAACUGGAGAGAAAGAUGGAGAUGACACUAAGGGUCGCUCUCCCAGGGCCUUCAAAGAAAGACUUAGAACUAA
rnacentral:lncRNA from 1 species